rnacentral:rRNA from 1 species
GACGAACGCUGGCGGCGUGCUUAACACAUGCAAGUCGAACGAAGUGGAGAACGGGUGAGUAAUACGUGGGUAACCUGCCCUCCUUUUUGGGAUAAGCCUUGGAAAAGGGGACUAAUACCGACAAAAGGGGGAUGGGCUCGCGGCUGAUCGGCUUGUUGGUGGGGUGAUGGCCUACCAAGGCGGUGACGGGUAGCCGGCCUGAGAGGGUGACCGGCAACAUUGGGACUGAGAUACGGUCCAGACUCCUACGGGAGGCAGCAGUGGGGAAUAUUGCACAAUGGGCGCAAGCCUGAUGCAGCCAUGCCGCGUGUGUGAAGAAGGCCUUCGGGUUGUAAAGCACUUUCAGCGGGGAGGCGUUACCCGCAGAAGAAGCACCGGCUAACUCCGUGCCAGCAGCCGCGGUAAUAC